rnacentral:rRNA from 1 species
AAUUGAGUGGUCAAGCUAAUAAGGGCUAACGGUGGAUACCUAGGCACACAGAGGCGAUGAAGGACGUGGUUAC